rnacentral:rRNA from 1 species
UACGGAGGGUGCAAGCGUUAUCCGGAUUCACUGGGUUUAAAGGGUGCGUAGGUGGGCAGGUAAGUCAGUGGUGAAAUCUCUGAGCUUAACUCAGAAACUGCCGUUGAUACUAUCUGUCUUGAAUAUAGUGGAGGUGAGCGGAAUAUGUCAUGUAGCGGUGAAAUGCUUAGAUAUGACAUAGAACACCCAUUGCGAAGGCAGCUCGCUACACUAUCAUUGACACUGAGGCACGAAAGCGUGGGGAUCAAACAGG